UACAGAGGUGGCAAGCGUUGUUCGGAAUUACUGAGCGUAAAGGGCGCGUAGGCGGCCAUCUAAGUCAGACGUGAAAUCCCCCGGCUUAACCUGGGAACUGCGUCUGAUACUGGAAGGCUUGAGUAUGGGAGAGGGAUGUAGAAUUCCAGGUGUAGCGGUGAAAUGCGUAGAUAUCUGGAGGAAUACCGGUGGCGAAGGCGGCAUCCUGGACCAUUACUGACGCUGAGGCGCGAAAGCUAGGGGAGCAAACGGG
rnacentral:rRNA from 1 species